rnacentral:rRNA from 1 species
UACAGAGGGUGCGAACGUUGCUCGGAAUUACUGGGCGUAAAGCGCGUGUAGGCGGAGCGAUAAGUCGGAAGUGAAAUCCCCGGGCUCAACCCGGGAACUGCUUUCGAAACUGCCGUUCUCGAGUACCGGAGAGGGUGGUGGAACUCUCGGUGUAGAGGUGAAAUUCGUAGAGAUCGAGAAGAACACCGGUGGCGAAGGCGGCCACCUGGACGGAGACUGACGCUGAGACGCGAAAGCGUGGGGAGCAAACAGG